GAGGGUAUAGCUCAGUGGUAGAGCAUUCGACUGCUAAUUGAGAGGUCCCCGAUUCUAACACGGAUGUCCUCU